rnacentral:rRNA from 1 species
UACGGAGGGUGCGAGCGUUGUCCGGAAUCACUGGGCGUAAAGGGCGCGUAGGCGGCUCAUGAAGGCUGUGGUGAAAGUCCGGGGCUCAACCUCGGAUCGGCCGUGGCGACUCGUGGGCUGGAGCACUGUAGAGGCGGGGUGGAAUUCCGGGUGUAGCGGUGGAAUGCGUAGAGAUCCGGAAGAACACCAGUGGCGAAGGCGGCCCGCUGGGCAGUGGCUGACGCUGAAGCGCGACAGCGUGGGGAGCAAACAGG